rnacentral:rRNA from 1 species
GACGAGGGGUCCAAGCGUUGUCCGGAUUUAUUGGGCGUAAAGCGCGCGUAGGCGGCCCGUUAAGUCGGAUGUGAAAACCCGGGGCUCAACCCCGGGCCUGCAUUCGAUACUGGCGGGCUCGAGGCAGGCAGGGGAGAGUGGAAUUCCUGGUGUAGCGGUGAAAUGCGUAGAGAUCAGGAAGAACACCGGUGGCGAAAGCGCUCUGCUGGACCUAAACUGACGCUGAGACGCGAAAGCGUGGGGAGCGAACAGG